AUUGAACGCUGGCGGCAGGCCUAACACAUGCAAGUCGAACGAGUUGCGGACGGGUGAGUAAUGUCUGGGAAACUGCCUGAUGGAGGGGGAUAACUACUGGAAACGGUAGCUAAUACCGCAUACCAUUGGAUGUGCCCAUAUGGGAUUAGCUAGUAGGUGGGGUAAAGGCUCACCUAGGCGACGAUCCCUAGCUGGUCUGCGAGGAUGACCAGCCACACUGGGAAUGAGACACGGUCCAGACUCCUACGGGAGGCAGCAGUGGGGAAUAUUGCACAAUGGGCGCAAGCCUGAUGCAGCCAUGCCGGGUGUAUGAAGAAGGCCUUCGGGUUGUAAAGUACUGUCAGCGGGGAGGCGUUACCCGCAGAAGAAGCACCGGCUAGCUCCGUGCCAACAGCCGCGGUAAUUC
rnacentral:rRNA from 1 species